AGAAAGGCAAAUCCUGGGUUUCCGUGUCCAACUUUGACUGUCCGUCUUAUAUGAAUUUUUUUAUAAUUCGUAUUUUUAUUGUUGUUAGAUGAUAAAACAUGAUUAAUAUUUUAUGCGUGACUUGUAUUUUUAAUUUUUUUUCAUAUUUUUUUGGAAUAAGACGGACGUUCAAACGUUGGGCACGAAAACUAGGGUUUAUCUUUUU
rfam:Oryza glaberrima chromosome 8 Oglab08_0154_9, whole genome shotgun sequence.